AUUGAACGCUGGCGGCAGGCCUAACACAUGCAAGUCGAGCGGAGCGGCGGACGGGUGAGUAAUGCCUAGGUAUCUGCCUGGGAGUGGGGGAGAACGUCCGGUAACGGACGCUAAUACCGCUUCCUAUCAGCUGCGCCUAGGUCGGAUUAGCUAGUUGGUGGGGUAAAGGCCUACCAAGGCGACGAUCCGUAACUGGUCUGAGAGGAUGAUCAGUCACACUGGAACUGAGACACGGUCCAGACUCCUACGGGAGGCAGCAGUGGGGAAUAUUGGACAAUGGGCGAAAGCCUGAUGCAGCCAUGCCGCGUGUGUGAAGAAGGUCUUCGGAUUGUAAAGCACUUUAAGUUGGGAGGCGUUACCAACAGAAGAAGCACCGGCUAACUCCGUGCCAGCCGCCGCGGUAAUUC
rnacentral:rRNA from 1 species